rnacentral:lncRNA from 1 species
ACUGAAACUGUAGCAGCAACCUGCUUAAGUCCUGUAAGGCAUGCUGGUAAUGGUAGUCUUGCUCUGAAAGAUGAAAGCUUUCUCAACAAUCACAACACAGAUGGUUUUGCUGUUAGUAGUCAUGAGAUUGGUGCGAUUCUAUCCCAUGUCAUCAUUUUUCCUUUUCAACUCAAACAAAGAAUCUAACCUGCAAAAGACUUGAAAUUCUGGAUCCAAAAGACAAUGCUACUUUGCCUCUAGUAUUGAUAAGCUCAUAAGUUUCCAGCUUUCAAUGAGUUUAUUCUAUAGGUUCCUAAUGCUUUGUUUCCCUUAAUUUUUCCUUCCAGUGUUAUCUGGUGCUAAGAGAUCCCGAGCUACUGUUGACGAGCAGCAACCUUCAGUACAGGUCACCUAUAAGUCCUUGACAAGGUAUGGAACUUUGUUAUUCAAAUUCUAUAUGGUUGACUAUUUCUAAAACAAUUCUUCCAUUGCUUGAUUGCUGAUCUCUCUUAAUUUAUCCAGAGAUAGUAAAAGAAAGCUUGAGGAGCUAUUACAGCAGUGGUCACAGUGGCACGCUCAGCAUUGCUCUUCAUCAAAAGUAACUUUCAUUCAACUUGAAUAGAUUAUAUUAGUUGCUAUUUGCUUGCGUGCUCAUUUUUAAGCCUCCUGUUUGCUUAAUGGUUCUUGUGUCUUUCUUUUUGCGAUUAGCUUAGUAUUAUGUAUUGUUCUUACUUUAGUGUUAUGUCCUGCCUUAACAAGAAGAAAUGCUUUUUACCAUUGGCAAGAUGCUUUUAUCCCUAGUAAAGUUAGUAGAGCCUAUAAAACAAAUUUUUGUUGAUGUUGAUAGCCAGAACAUAGUGAGCUCUAGGUAAUGUAAUAAGAAGUGCUGGGGCUGCUAACUGUUUUAACAUAGUUUGCAUUCCGACAAGGAAAAGGAACAAUUAUUCAAGAUUGUCUUAAUAAGAAUGUUCAUUAGAUCAUUGCUCUUAGGGUCCAAUUCUUGACUGUACUUGAUUGGUAUUGGAACCAAAUUUUCUUUUCUAUAACAGAUCUGUUUGCCUUUUUGCACAUACUAUCCCAAGUGCUAAAGUGCUACUCUAUCAACUCAGGAAUCAAGCCAAGUUCUAGAAUCUGGUGAAGAUACAUAUUUCCCGGCUCUUCAAGUUGGUGUAGAUAAGCAUUCUGCAGUGGUAUAUUUGCUUUCCCUUUAGACAUGUUCCUUUGUUGGUUUUCAGUUGAUACUAAAUUAAAGAUCUUCAUCUAUUUUACUUAAUGCAAAAUGAGUUACCUGUGCCAUUCAGCUUGUGCAUUCCAAAAGUUAUAAACGUCUGCCUGCCUGUUUGUGGGAGCUGAUAGAGAGAAGGGGGGGGGGGGUGUAAGCAACAGAAAUUCUGUAUCUCAACAUCUUUGAACAAGCUUAAAAAGAACCUUGUUAGCACACCAAUGAUCUAAUAAAUGUCAAAAUUGAUAAUAGUUCUCAGGUCAAAAGAAGGGCUGGAUGGGUGAAUCAGCUCAUUAGUCGAGGGAUUGCUAAAUUAUAAGCCAUAUUUUAUCACAAUGCUUUCUGGUUUUUUUAUUUUUCAGUAAAAUAUCUACAGAAUGUUAGCUAGUGAAAGAUAGAAAUCAACUGCUCUUUGUUUAAUUAGAGUUAGUUUAGGACUCUCCACUGUUUCCUGUUCUUGGUGCAGUUUAAAAUGCUAGUCUUAUGCAAUUUUCUAUCUAGUUUCUCAAACCAAAAAGAAGGGAAAAAAAUCCACAUAGAGUAGGAGUAUAGGACUGUACUUAGUGUUGUCUCCUGUGUAUUCAUAUCUUCAGAUUUGUGUUGAGAAAUUGCGAUCGCUUGCAUGUCUUGAUAAUCUAAUACAAUGUAAGACUAUUUCUGGAUUAAUAAUUUAGCUUCUUAUUAUGUUCAUCUGAAUAAAUGCAGAAUGUGAUCUGGAUUUGGAUUUUCCAUUGUCUAGAUGAGUUAAAUGCACUUUGUCAAAUUUCUUUAAUACUAUGUUCUUUCAACUCAUUUUAGAAAUUCUGUUUUCAAUGUAGUCUUUUUGGAUGGAGAAUGAAACUAGGUGCAGACAGAACAAGGAAGUCAUUCCAUUUGAUGGAAACUCAGUUCCUGUUUAUGAUCGUGGAUAUUCAUUAGCUUUAACUGCAAUGGAUGGUUCAAGUAACUUGGGGUAAAGGAUUUUUCAUUCGAAAUUGAAUAUGUACAAUUUAGUCCCAUGUGUUGUCUCCAUUUCCGUGAACAUCAGAUUGCCCACAUAUGGAUAUUAUGUUGUUCAACCAUACACUCAUGCUUUUCUUUUUCCCUUUCCAUUUCCCUUUUAAAAUCUAAUGUUCUCCUUUGCAUGGCAGAGUAUUGGAAGUAGUGGAAGGUUCCCGUUGUUUCAAUUGUGGCUCAUACAACCAUGCACUGAAGGACUGUCCCAAGCCUCGUGAUAAUAUUGCUGUUAACAAUGCUCGAAAGCAACAUAAAUCUAGGCGUAACCAAAACCCCAGUUCGCGCAACCCAACUCGAUAUUAUCAGAAUUCUCCUGGUGGCAAGUAUGAUGGACUAAAACCAGGCACUCUUGAUUCUGAAACACGCCAGCUUUUAGGACUUGGGGUAUGGUAGCUUUUGGGAUUUUCCCAUCUGCUUUUAAGAAUGCUUCAUGUGAACUAAAUUGUGGUGAAUUGGAUUCUUUUUUGCAGAUCUUGAACUGCAAUUAUUAUUAAUUUUUUUUAGGGGGAUGCCUUUUAAGUUGCAGUGUUAGGUUUCAUGCAAGUUUAAAAUUGCUUAUCAAGUGUUUUGUGACUAAUUUCUGUAGGAGUUUGAUCCACCUCCGUGGCUUAACAGAAUGCGAGAAAUAGGAUACCCACCUGGCUAUCUAGGUAAUCAGGCAUUUCCAAGGUCUUUGAUUUUUUAAAUUUUCUUGUCAUUAUUACAUAGAGGUCUUUAAUGAAAGAAAAAAUUGUUUUGUUUAGUUUUAACUUGUAGCCAUGUGUUUCCCUUCCACAUUUUGAAGUUUUACUCAGAAUGUGUUCCGUAUUUCUCAUUAGACUUUUUCCUUCCAAUAAAACUGCGUGCUUUUCAAGUUUAUAAUUGAGAAACAGCAAUGCAAUUUUUCUGCCCUGUUUUGUCCUCCUAUUUAGUUGUUUUUUUUUAAAUCAAUUUCUUGAUUGGCAGGAAGAUAACCCGGCUUUUGAUGUUCUGAAUCUCAUUAUUUAUAUAGAUGACAUGUCAUCUUUGAUACCUAUUGACACGAUUUUCUUAUCUCUCCUCCAUAUUCUGAACCUAGUUGCCUUUAUCCUGUGGCCUAUAGAAGUGAAAAAAAAAAAAGGCUUUGCAUUUCAUUUGUUGGUUUUAUUGGUCAGUAAUUGAACUUUGAAUAGCCUUAAGCAGUAUGAUGACAUCUUGACAUUGUUUUGCAGAUCCAGACAAUGAAGACCAGCCAUCGGGUAUCACAAUCUUUGGUGAUGAGGAAAAUGGGGAAGAUACAGAGGAAGGUGAGAUUCUUGAUUCAAGCCAUCCUGAGCCAGCUAGAAAAAUGAGCAUUGAAUUUCCAGGGGUAAAUGCACCAAUCCCACAAAAUGCAGAUGAAAUGCGCUGGGCAGCUGGGCCUUCAGAUCUAAAUAUGUCUAGAAAUCGUUCAUACAGCAGAUCCAAUCGGACAUCAGAUUCUGGAAGCAGAGGUCAUUAUCAUGAGCAGAGGUUGUCAAGGAGCUUUGAAGAUGACGAGCCUCCUCCCCCUGGCUGUGAGGUUGGUAGCCCCUCGUGGUCAAGUUAUUCUCACAGGUAUGGUGGCU